GCCCAGGGGCACGGCUGGGCCGGUGCGAGGGCUCACAAACACUGCAAAAGCUGCCCCGGACGCACGCAGGGCCAGUCGCACCACGCAAACAGAACAACUGAGGUUAACAGAAGUGACAAACGAGGCCUGGCCGCAGGAGCAGCACCAAGCCCGUCCCCACGCGAGGCUCCUACCCCGGCGGAGAGUGGGAGCCCGGCGCGGGGCUGCCGCCAGGGCUGCUGGCUGUGCCCAGGCCGGGCCCGGCGCCUCGGCCAGCCCGCGGCUGCCCCCGCUCGCAGCGGCUCCCGGCUCGGCAGCACAGCCACGCCGGCUCCCGCAGCCCGGCCGUUUGUACCGCCUAGAGGGCAGGGCCCGGCCCCGCUGCCCUGCCGCAGCGCACACAGCAGCGGCCGCAGCGCGGGGGAAGAGGAGGAGGAGGAAGAGGUGAAGACUGAGACGGAGGUGCCGAGCGCCGGCCGCGGCGCUCCUCCCUCGGCCCGGCCGCCUGCCGCCGAGGCGAGACAAGAUGGCGGCGGGCCCCGCCGGGCAGCGGCAGCAGCUGCAGCGACACGGCCCGUCCCGCCGGCAGCGCCGAGACGCGCAGCUACGCCUCCACCCGACCAGGUGCUAGGUGGGGGUGCCCCGUUACGCUGCAGGGCUGUACCAAGAUGAAUGCGAGCUGCUCCACGUAAGCAAGUGCACAGGAUGCUGUUUUUUAUGUCUCUUCCCGCUGACAUGGUUUUGUUACCUGCUGGCUGAAAGCCUGUGUUCGGUACAUUUCACACAACCAGUUGCAGGAGCAAAGAGCUGCUUCUUGCUGGAACAGAAACUCCAGUUUCAAGGAUGGCUGCGUCAAGACAUACUGGGAUCUGUCGUGUGAACGCUAAACUGAGUCUAAGCUUCAGCCCUUUAUAUGGAACCUGUUUGCAGAAAGAGGAAGCUACAGUACUGAAAACAGGCUCUCAGUGCUUGACUGCAUGAGCUUCUUACAGACCAGGCUUCUCAAAAGAAGAAAAAAAAAAAAGAGUUGUCUUACUUCAAAAACUUUGUGAAAUGCAAACUCUGUUAAAUUCAGUUAAAUCCUUUCAAGGUUCUUCAUUUGGCACUAGUAAACCAGUGAUUGUCUUUUUUUUUUUCUUUUUUUUUUCUUUUUUUUUUUUUUUUUUAGAAAAAGAGCUGUAACUAAUAACGGGGGGGAGGAGAAACUAAGGUUACUACUCUAUGUACAGGAUGUCUUUCUGUCACUUUAGAAUAAAAUUUAUAGUUUGAUUUAGUAUCGAGAUCAGAGGUCUACUGAACAUUAAUGAAAGUGUGUACUUUCUAAGAAUUUUUGAGUAAACCAUUGCUGUAACUUGCA